CUGGAGCAGAGGGAGUAACAGCCAAUCAGCUGUCAGACCUGUUGGAUAGGUCAUGACCUCACAGGGACAGGCAGUGACCUCAGAGCAGAGCAGGUCAGGCGGCUGAUCCACAGAACUAUCAACAGGAAGGACUACAAACGUGGAGUCUUCCCCAGUUAGUCCCCCUCCAAUCUAUUGGCUACUUCAGCCUCCCAUCAGCCCCUUGGCCAAAAGUGUCC
rnacentral:lncRNA from 1 species